rnacentral:rRNA from 1 species
AUGGAGGGAGUAGCAGGGAUGUUGAGGAGUCUCAAGCUGUCGGAGGAAGAGAGAAAAGGGGUCAAGAUCCGGCUGGGGGGAAAGGAGAAAGGGAAGGGAUCGGAGUCUCAGGCGGUGGGGAGAGUGGUGUCCGAGAAGCCGGCUCAUCCAGAUGCGAUCUGCCUCUCCUUGGGGCGGAUCUGGUGCCCGAUAAAAGGAAUUGACUGCAAGGAGGCCGGGGAUAAUAGGUUUGUGUUCACCUUCAAACAGGAGUCUGGUAAGCGGAAGGCACUUGAGGACGGGUCGUGGAUGUUCGAUAAAGAUCUUGUGGUGGUGGAGGACUAUGAUCCAAGAAAGAGAAUAGAGGACUAUGAUUUCAACGACAUCCCUAUAUGGGUGAGAAUCUUCAGUCUUCCUCUUGGUAUGAUGAAUGAAACCAUAGCGGAGGAGAUAGGCAACAUCAUCGGGCGAUUUGUUGAGGUGGAUGCUGGUGUGGAUGGGAGAGCAAUUGGCAAAUUUUUACGGGUGAAAAUCAGGAUGAACAUAGAGAAGCCAAUCAUGAGAGGGUUUACCCUAGAUGAUGAUGAUGUGAAGGAAUCACAUAAGAGAAAGAAGGACAUGUGUAUUGAUGGGAAGGAGGGUGAGGAGGAAGAAAGUCUCUGA